rnacentral:rRNA from 1 species
GAUGAACGCUGGCUGUGUGCCUAAUACAUGCAUGUCGAGCGAAGCACUUUUGUGCUUAGCGGCGAAUGGGUGAGUAACACGUACUUAACCUACCCUCAAGAUUGGGACAACACUUGGAAACGAGUGCUAAUACCAAAUAUGUAUUUUUAUCGCAUGAUAGAUAUAUAAAAGGAGCUUCGGCUUCACUAGAGGAUGGGAGUGCGCUACAUUAGUUAGUUGGUAGGGUAAUGGCCUACCAAGACUAUGAUGUAUAGCGGGGCCGAGAGGCUGAUCCGCCACACUGGGACUGAGAUACGGCCCAGACUCCUACGGGAGGCAGCAGUAGGGAAUUUUCCACAAUGAACGAAAGUUUGAUGGAGCGACACAGCGUGCAGGAUGAAGGUCUUCGGAUUGUAAACUGCUGUUAUAAGAGAAGAAAAACCCUGGUAGGUAAUGACCAGGACUUGACGGUACCUUAUCAGAAAGCGACGGCUAACUAUGUGCCAGCAGCCGCGGUAAUACAUAGGUCGCAAGCGUUAUCCGGAAUUAUUGGGCGUAAAGAGUUCGUAGGUGGUUUUGUAAGUCUGAAGUUAAAUACCGGGGCUCAACCCCGGCCCGCUUUGGAUACUGCAAAACUAGAGUAAUAGAGAGGUUAGUGGAACUCCAAGUGAAGCGGUGGAAUGCGUAGAUAUUUGGAAGAACACCAAUGGCGAAGGCAACUAACUGGAUAUUAACUGACACUGAGGAGCGAAAGCGUGGGUAGCAAACAGG